UACAGAGGUCUCAAGCGUUGUUCGGAUUCAUUGGGCGUAAAGGGUGUGUAGGUGGCGCGGCUAAGUCGGGUGUGAAAUUUCGGAGCUUAACUCCGAAACUGCAUUCGAUACUGCGGUGCUUGAGGACUGGAGAGGAGACUGGAAUUCAUGGUGUAGCAGUGAAAUGCGUAGAGAUCAUGAGGAAGACCAGUGGCGAAGGCGGGUCUCUGGACAGUUCCUGACACUGAGGCACGAAGGCCAGGGGAGCAAACGGG
rnacentral:rRNA from 1 species